rnacentral:rRNA from 1 species
GACGAACGCUGGCGGCGUGCUUAACACAUGCAAGUCGUACGGUAAGGCCCUUUCGGGGGUACACGAGUGGCGAACGGGUGAGUAACACGUGAGUAACCUGCCCACAACUUUGGGAUAACGCUAGGAAACUGGUGCUAAUACUGGAUAUGUGCUCCUGCUGCAUGGUGGGGGUUGGAAAGCUCCGGCGGUUGUGGAUGGACUCGCGGCCUAUCAGCUUGUUGGUGGGGUAGUGGCCUACCAAGGCGGCGACGGGUAGCCGGCCUGAGAGGGUGACCGGCCACAUUGGGACUGAGAUACGGCCCAGACUCCUACGGGAGGCAGCAGGGGGGAAUAUUGCAAAAUGGGCGCAAGCCUGAUGCAGCAACCCCGCGUGCGGGAUGACGGCCUUCGGGUUGUAACCCGCUUUCAGCAGGGACGAAGCUUUUUGGAGCGGACCCGGCAGAAAAAGCCCCGGCAAAUUACGG